UACUACACCAGGGUGGCCAAUCCUGCUCUGGUGAGGGAGUGCAUUGCUGGCUGUGGUCGCCAGUGAGGCUGCACCCCAGGCCUUGUCAGCUUUGCAUUAAGCCGCAGGCUCCACUUUUGGUGGUGCCCUUCCGUCAAUUCCUUUAAGUUUCAGCUUUGCAACCAUACUUCCCCCGGAACCGAAAUACUUUGGUUUCCCAGAAGCUGCCCGCCGAGUCAUUUGAGAAAUCGGAGGAGCAAGCCCGAGGAACCU
rnacentral:lncRNA from 1 species